UACGGGGGGAGCAAGCGUUGUUCGGAUUUACUGGGCGUAAAGGGCGCGUAGGCGGUCGUGACAAGUCACUUGUGAAAUCUCCGGGCUUAACUCGGAACGGUCAAGUGAUACUGUCGGACUAGAGUACAGAAGGGGCAACUGGAAUUCUCGGUGUAGCGGUGAAAUGCGUAGAUAUCGAGAGGAACACCAGUGGCGAAGGCGGUACGCUGGGCCGGAACUGACGCUGAGGAGCGAAAGCGUGGGGAGCAAACAGG
rnacentral:rRNA from 1 species